CGAUAAAAGUGACUUCAAGCUCUGCAUGACGUGGCAGCAGCUAAGGUUUGCUAAAGUAAUUGUGGUGAUAGGAAUUACCAGCCUCCGAAGGUCCUGAGGAGGCUCAUUCUAUCCUAGUACAGUU
rnacentral:snoRNA from 1 species